GGGGUGGUUCUGGAUUUGACCGGACUACGACGUUUCAAGGAGCACGUCGCGGGGCAGUUGGCCGCGUUAAAAAACUGCAAAACUAUAUUCGCAAACGACGAAUCUUUCGCUGUAGCAGCUUAAUACCCUGCGUAUAGCCUAACCUCUCUAGCUUCAGCUUGUAAGACGGAGAUCAAGGUUAGUCAAACCCAAUCAAGCUAGUUCAUGGUCUAAGCCGCCGUCUUGGAAAUGAACGAAUUUUAAUACUGGCUAGCACUUUGCGCUUCGGCUACUUCCCCGUUCCAUGGAAGUCAUUGUGUGAAAAUUAAUUUGGAACUAAACGUGUAGCGCCGAGAAAUUGUAUGGUUCGACACGGCGGUUCGACUCCGCCCCACUCCACCA
rnacentral:tmRNA from 1 species